AAUGAACGCUGGCGGAAUGCUUUACACAUGCAAGUCGAGCGGCAGCGCGGGGGCAACCCUGGCGGCGAGCGGCGAACGGGUGAGUAACAUAUCGGAACGUACCCCGUCGUGGGGGAUAACACAGCGAAAGCUGUGCUAAUACCGCAUACGACCUGAGGGUGAAAGCGGGGGAUCGCAAGACCUCGCGCGAUGGGAGCGGCCGAUAUCGGAUUAGCUUGUUGGUGAGGUAAAGGCUCACCAAGGCGACGAUCCGUAGCUGGUCUGAGAGGACGACCAGCCACACUGGAACUGAGACACGGUCCAGACUCCUACGGGAGGCAGCAGUGGGGAAUUUUUGGACAAUGGGGGCGAACCCUGAUCCAGCCAUUCCGCGUGAGUGAAGAAGGCCU
rnacentral:rRNA from 1 species